UCUCCCAUGCUGGACGCUCCCGGCUGCAUCCACUCUCUGUGUGUGCAGCCACGGAGCCUCCUCUGGAUUAAAAGCGCAUUUUUCAUCUUCACGCAACGCGGACCGGACCUCACUCUGCAAGAAACAGCAUUUAAUUUGCGAGCAGGGAAAUCCAGAGAGAGAUCGCGUUGCCAAUAAGCAGACGCCUUUAUUCCGGGGGAGUUUGUCGCUCUCCGCGGCUGGUCAGCUUUUGCUUUGCGAGCAAACACGGAAAAGCAAGCCAGCUCACGUUUCAAGAGAUGACACAGAAGCAGGAGGAGAUGUUUCAAUAGCUUGAUACCGAUAAUUUUCGGUAUUCUAUUCAGCACCUAAAGCAAGACCACGACAAACGACUGACCUCGACCUUUUCGGACGGUGCAAACGGCUCUGGAAUAGAGAUGGCGAGAUGUUUUCUAACGCGUCUCCUCCUCUAGCGCACAUGCCACCGAGGCUGCUGAUCAUGGUGAUGUGUGCGUAGGAGUGUGGUAUUUUUCACCAGUCUGCACUGUUCAAACAACUCCAGCCGAGCGGUACACGGACCUGUCCAUUGUUGACUGCCUUAUCCAAGCGCGUCUGUCAGAGGUAUUUUUGUUAUUUCACAAAACCCGGCUUUUUCAUGUUCGAAUAUGGAGUAGGUUUUUUUUUUUUUUUGCUCUGGAAUUGCUCAUAAAAUGUUUUGCAUUCAGUUGUCAAGAGUGCAUGAGGAAAAGUGGUCCAAGGGGAAAGAAUAACAACACCAACGUGGACAUUUUCCAAAGAGUGCAUACUGCCCGGUGUUAUUUCAACUAACUACUAAAGAUUAUCCGGCCCAGUGGGCUUUUUUUUCUGGCCCUAGACGAACUUUUGAAAAUCAAGUUCUUUGGUGUUUUCCCCCUUUUUUAUAUUUUUCUUUUUCAUAAAAAAAAAAAGAUUCUUUCCUUACUUUGUUACUGCGGUUGAUAUAAACUGCAACCAGCCAGGUUUGGACCUUAGCUCCGAGGAAUCACCACUGCCCCAUAUGUGACCCAGAUGAUUCAUCUUGUCUCUGAAGGGUGUUGAUGGAGAGCCAUUCGAAUGACAGCCGGGACAGUGGUCAUCACUGGUGGAAUUCUCGCUACAGUUAUACUACUGCUUAUCAUUGCAGUACUGUGCUACUGUCGGCUGCAGUAUUAUUGCUGUAAGAAAGAAGAGUCUGAGUCGGAGGAGGAGGAGCCAGACUUUGCUGUCACAUCUCGCCUCCCUCCAGUUCACUCCAAUCACAACAUUGUGGCGGCAACGGCCGCCGCUUCCUCCAUCCCAAAUGGUCCUGCCCUUUUCUCCACCCCUCCACUGGCCAGAAAACUGACGCGUUCACAGACCUUCUGUCCGUCCUGCACCCACUAUGAGCUGCCUUUCUACCUCCAGCCUCCUCCUCCUCAGCAGCAGCAGCAGCUCCGCCACCAACCAGAUGGGUUGAGGAAUGGAGGUGACCGGAUCAGCUAUCGCAGCGUCCAGCAGCAGGAUCUGGACCUGCCAGUACCUGUGAACAUCUCGAACUACCGCAAACCGAACCUUGCCCGAUCGGUUACCAUGAGAGACAUGUUCACACGCAGCUGUAGCAUCAGCACUGAUGUUUAGCUGAGGGAAUCACACCAUCCAGUGAGUUGGAGAGGCUUGAUUUGGAUUAAAUUAUGGAGAAUAUAAAAUAUCACUCACUACGAUUGAAGAAGAGGAGGAAAGUGUCAGGCUUUAUCUGCCACCCACAGACAUUUUCGAUACUUUUAACAUUGUCCAUAAUAUUUUAAGACAUAAAGGGCUCACAGAAGAUAAAUAAACUCCAGUUUAUUUUCCACAUCAUUUUACCAAGGUGAUGGGAAGCUAGGCACUGAACCUCUGCAGACGACACAGUGUAUAUACUGUAUUCUACAAUUCAAAGAGAAACAUAUUUAGGUUCUUGCUGGCAGAGGGGGCUGGUACUGACAAGCAUGUGUGUGUGGGUGUGUGUUGUUAUACCAAAAUGUUUAUUUCAUUCAAUUAAACACAAUCUGUCGUCCAAAUGUAUAAUUGAACCCAGAGCAGAGUUGAGAUUGCAAUAAUAUUUUAAAUAUUUUCUGACAAAUCCAAGCAAAUGAUGUGAGAGACACUUUUUUUGUACAUGAUUAUUUUACUUAUCAAAGCUAUAAUAUAGGCUUGAGUUGUAGGUGCAAUCAUAAAGGCAAAAAGUGUUUUUUGGGAAACAUUCUUGAUUUUCAGUGUGAUCUCUGUUGUAGUUUUUCACAAAGUUUGAGUUUGUGGACUUUUCAAUGCAUUCCUUGUGUUGUAUUUGAUUUGUUGAUAUAUAGAUUUCUGGGUCAAAUAUUCACCCUUGAAGGCACAUGUAUAAAUAUUUAACUGGCCAUAACGUACACUUUGGUUUCUCUCCUCUCUCUCGACUCGCUGGACUGAGGAAAAUGUGCUCUUUCUCUGAGGUACUCAGAGAGUUUCUGCUCAAGAUUGUUUUUAUUUUCUGCGCUUGGCUGACCGGCCUGGCUAGAGGGCUGAUAUUCUGAUUGGAGGAGCGGAGGCUGGAUUUUAUGGGUUGAGGACACACGGUUAAUGACUGAGAUUAUUUACUGCUUGAUUUCAAAAACGGGAAGACAAUGGUGGGUGUUUGAGUGUCUUGAAGCUGAUUGGAUUGUCCUUCUUGGACUCCCCCAACCAUCACCCCCCAUCUUCUCUCACAUAUAAAUGGUAAUGUAAAUGCUUUUGUAGCCGCUUCUCUACUUCUGUCGCUCUGAUGAUUUUAUCAGCAAUCAUGCUCAUUUAUCUUCCUGAAGGGUACAUCAUUUUAUGUUUUCCUCUUAUGACAAUUCAGAUACACAAAGCUACAAUAGACACAGAUUUGGACAUCUAAUUUUUAAGCACUGCAUAGCUCCUUACUCCAAUGUUAGCCAUCAAAAAAUAAUGCAGAGCCCAAACUGAUACCCUGGAUUGAGGAUCGACUAAAUGUUCAAUCUUUCAAGGUAAGUGGUCCUUACAAGGCCAACAGAAGUCAAGUCUCCAUGCACAUGCAGAUACACAGACUUACACACAGUAGUUGUCAAUGUUCAUAUUUAGCUACUAAACUGAACGUAUCUGACAACUGUGCAGAAAAUGUAGUGCCAUAAAGAUCUAAAGAGAUAUAUCUGUGUAUUCAAAUAGAGUAUUGCAUUUAUGUUCAAGUAUUAAAAUUGUUCACUCUAUUUUAUUAAUUUAAUAUAUUUAUUUUCAGUUUAUCUUUGUUUCUUAUAUAUACCUAAC